rnacentral:misc_RNA from 1 species
AAGUCGUAACAAGGUUUCCGUAGGUGAACCUGCGGAAGGAUCAUUAUCACGUAUCCACGUAUCAACCAUUGCGAACUGUAUCACCUUUUGUCGAGAGUGAGGUUGUGGGAAUUGUAAUCCUGUUUUUGAUUUUACGGGGCUAAGUUACAGUUCUCCAUGGAAUCGUCUAUUUCGGUAGGCGGAACAUACUCGUUCACUUCAAAUUGUAUUUUAAAAUCAAUUUAAUUAACAAUUUUAACCAACUUUGAACAUUGUCUUAUCUAUUUCAUACUCUUAACGGAGAUGAAAUUCAUUACGAAA